UGGGGAACGCUCCGUCCCAAGGCAUGUCCCUGUCCUCUCCCUCCCUAAUGUGCCUCCAUGCUUAGUGGAAGGGCUCCAGCGAGCGGCGGGAGGGAAGCCUGCAGGACUCUGUUCCCUCUGUUUAAAGUCUCCAGAUGAUGUCAUGUGUGAACGUCGCCCAGCCAGAGGCAGCCAGAGGACAGGGACUGGUGACAUCCGGGGAAAGGACGCCAGGUGGGGACGGGCCUGCCGGUUUAGCAGACGGUGGCGCCGAGCUGGAGGAUCUUCCUUCUCCUGAAGAGUGACAGUGAUCGCAUGCGGGCACCUGCGCCUCUACUCGUGGCCAGCCACUGGGGGGCGCCCGCCGCCUCCUCAUCCGCAGGUCUGAACGGAGGGCGACACAGGCCCCUGCCCAGGCCCAGCCUCUGCUUCCCUUCCUGCUGAGGCUCCCUGUCACGCGUGCUGGCAUCUUCCUGCACCUCGUCCUGGGCAGGCGUGACCUCAGGCGCCCAACAGGCUGGGGGAGUGAAGUCAUUUCCAGAACAGCACCCCCAUUAGAAGCCCAGGCUGCUCCUCCCAGUCCCUGUGGGCCCCACAGAAAAAAAGUUGAAUCCAUGCAACAGGUGUGGAACCCCGGAUCACCUGCAUGGCGCCAUCCUUCUCUCUGAACCUCGGGGUCCUUCCUUGUUAAAUAAAGCCAAGAUCUGGAAGAUUGUUUUUAAAUUUUUAAAAUUUUUAUUUGCUUGUUUUUUUAAAGCGGGCCUCGAUAUGUAGUCCAGGCUGCCCUUGAGCUCACUAUGGACCCCAGGCUGGCCUCAGACUCUCGACAAUCCUCCUGCUUCAGCCUCCUCAGUGCUGGGAUGACAGGCGUGUGCCACCACACCAAGCUAGAAGGUUCUUAAAGGGGUUCCUAGGCUUUUCCAUUCCAAGCCCCCCUUGGCAUGGCCCCUCCUCAGAUGAGCAGAUAUCUCUCUACCCCUUCCCUCUCUGCCACCCCAGUGCCAGCUCCUGGCCAGGAGUGCUGCCUGCUGUCUAUCUGCUCCCCACAGCCCCUCAACCCUCCC
rnacentral:lncRNA from 1 species